rnacentral:rRNA from 1 species
AAAAUUUUCAGCUUGUCUGAAUUCUAAAUCCGACGACGUGGAUCAGAAAGGGAAUUAGGUUGUAGCUCCAGCGUUGGGAAGAACAGUUAUACUUGAGAGUUUCUUCUAAUGCGACAAUAGGGAUUCCAUAGAACAAGACGAAAGCCUAGUGGCCUAGAAGUUAGGUUAAUAGAAACAGAUCAGUGCUUUUCAAGAAAGACAAAAAGAUUAGUGGGGUUAAGUUGUAUUGAAAGGUAUUAAUAUUGGAAGGAAUUAAUAUUAAGAUUUUUAUAUACAUUUCUAGAUAUCCCAGAAGAGCAGAUAAAUUGAAUAGAGACGAAAAAAUGUCUUUUUAGUUUAAGAUUUUGAAUCAAACUCUGUCUUAAAUAAAGUAAUUUAGAAAGUAAGGUCGGAGGUUAAUUUUCCGAUGACUAAUACGAUGGAAACGUGCCAGUUUUAUGGCGCCGGGAA